rnacentral:misc_RNA from 1 species
AACGCACAUUGCGCCCGCCAGUAUUCUGGCGGGCAUGCCUGUUCGAGCGUCAUUUCAACCCUCAAACCCCCGGGUUUGGUGUUGGGGAUCGGAUUGCCUAGUCAAUCCGUCUCCGAAAUCUAGUGGCGGUCUCGCUGCAGCCUCCAUUGCGUAGUAGCUAACACCUCGCAACUGGAACGCGGCGCGGCCAUGCCGUUAAACACCCAACUUCUGAAUGUUGACCUCGGAUCAGGUAGGAAUACCCGCUGAACUUAA